AACGGAAAAGGUCUUGCGGUAGUUUUAGUGGCGCCCUCCCUGAAUUUUUUCAGGAACAGAAAAGCGCUUCUGCUUUUAAGAUAACUAAAGAGUCUCUCCAGCACUGCGAAUCUACGCAAUAUCAGUGGUGCCUUCAGCAAAGUCUUUCUUUUGGUGGUAUGUUAAAUGUACUCGGUGUAAUAAACGUAGAUGAAUCACUUGCAUCUGCAGGCUUUAUAAGGUUGAGAAAAACUUGGUAUGCAAUAAAAACUUUCCCGGAAUCUCCUUUAAUAAUAAGAAGUUAUAAUGAGGAAAACGAACUAGUCAAUGAUGUUGUUAUUACUUUAUUCAUUUAUGACCCGUCAGAUUCUUGGAAUUCUUGCGGCGUACUGAGUAAUAAUUUAAGGAUCAAGAAUGAAGCUGAAAGUAUCGUUGCUCUAAACAAAACUGAAUUGCGAU